rnacentral:rRNA from 1 species
UACGUAGGGGGCAAGCGUUGUCCGGAAUUAUUGGGCGUAAAGAGCGUGUAGGCGGCCAUACAGGUCAGCUGUGAAAACUCGAGGCUCAACCUCGAGACGUCGGUUGAAACCGUAUGGCUAGAGUCGGAAGAGGAGAGUGGAAUUCCCGGUGUAGCGGUGAAAUGCGCAGAUAUCAGGAGGAACACCGGUGGCGAAGGCGGGUCUCUGGGCCGAUACUGACACUGAGAAGCGAAAGCGUGGGGAGCGAACAGG